CGCUUGUGAUGAUCCAAAUUCACACCAUCUUUCGCCUGAGAAAAUCGUGCUGUACACUUUUAUAACUGACUUUUAAG